UUACGACCUGCUCCGUUAAACUUGAAAGUACGUCACUUAAUAUUUAUGGAAAAUUAUUUUUAAAAUUGCUUAUAUGGUACUUCUUGCACGUUUAACCAUGAAAAUAUUCCUUAAAAUUUUGACUGGUGGAGUUCUUCUAACAGCUGUACUUUAUAUGCUUUAUAAUCAAACAGUACUAACAAGGACAAUAGAAGUACUUAAACAUAUGUUAUCCUUAGUUAAUGAUUCGAACUUGAUGGAGACUACAAUUCCAAACUCAGAAGUGACAUCACCAGAAGAUAUUCAAAAAAUUCUUUCUGAAAGAAUAUCGAAACUUUUAGAUGAAGCGAUGUUAGAAUUAUAAAGAUCCUAUAAUUUACUGUUUUAUCAAAUCAAUUAAAGUUAUGUAUGAAAGUAUAACGCUUGCUAAUUAAUAAAGAAAUUCAUACUA